rnacentral:rRNA from 1 species
AUUGAACGCUGGCGGCAGGCCUAACACAUGCAAGUCGAACGAGUGGCGGACGGGUGAGUAAUGUCUGUGAAACUGCCUGAUGGAGGGGGAUAACUACUGGAACCGGUAGCUAAUACCGCAUACCAUCCGAUGAGCCCAGAUGGGAUUAGCUAUUAGGUGGGGUAAAGGCUUACCUAGGCGACGAUCCCUAGCUGGUCUGAGAGGGUGACCAGCCACACUGGAACUGAGACACGGUCCAGACUCCUACGGGAGGCAGCAGUGGGGAAUAUUGCACAAUGGGCGAAAGCCUGAUGCAGCCAGGCCGCGUGUAUGAUGAAGGCCUUCGGGUUGUAAAGUACUGUCAGCGGGGAGGCGUUACCCGCAGAAGAAGCACCGGCUAACUCCGUGCCAGCAGCCGCGGUAAUAC